rnacentral:rRNA from 1 species
UGGGAAUUUUGGACAAUGGGCGCAAGCCUGAUCCAGCCAUGCCGCGUGCAGGAUGAAGGCCUUCGGGUUGUAAACUGCUUUUGUCAGGGAAGAAACGAGUUUCUCUAAUACAGAGACUUAAUGACGGUACCUGAAGAAUAAGCACCGGCUAACUACGUGCCAGCAGCCGCGGUAAUACGUAGGGUGCAAGCGUUAAUCGGAAUUACUGGGCGUAAAGCGUGCGCAGGCGGUUAUGCAAGACAGAGGUGAAAUCCCCGGGCUCAACCUGGGAACUGCCUUUGUGACUGCAUAGCUAGAGUACGGUAGAGGGGGAUGGAAUUCCGCGUGUAGCAGUGAAAUGCGUAGAUAUGCGGAGGAACACCGAUGGCGAAGGCAAUCCCCUGGACCUGUACUGACGCUCAUGCACGAAAGCGUGGGGAGCAAACA